AGUACAGAUUGCAUUAUAUCUAACACAAAUACUAGUUUUUUUUUUUCACUGACAGAAAGACGUCUUUAUAUCAUCAGUAACAGCUCCUCGUCACUCGUUUAUUUCUAGUUACCGUGAGGCAUGUCUAAGUAGCCUACUGAAGUGGACUAAAGCAAAACAGAGCCCCAAAACAGUCCAGGGAAGAAAACUUCAGCCCAAGAUAUGGAUUCCAGCAAAUGUAAAACAAAGCACUUGCACAUUUUUGUUUUUGUUCAGAA